CUCACCUUCGGUUCUCCCUUUGUUCUCUUCCCUUUUCCCCUUUUUUCUACUAAUUUUCUUUUUCUCUCUUCCUUGUUUAUUGUCCUUUCUAACAAACCGCUGCCGCUGCCUCCACACACUUUCCAGCGUCUUACCUCCGAUCAGGCCAGCUUCCUUCCCAUCAUUCAAAAUUUAAAUCCUCAAAUAUAUCUAUCCAAUCCAUUGCUCCCCAUUUCUUCGGUGAUUCUCUCUCACUCUCGGUCUCUUUUCAACGUUUUCCUGUCAUUCUUUUUUAGCUUUGGGUAUCCACAGGCCAAAAACACACACGCUAUAGUAGGAAGAGAGUUUUCGUGAGAGAAACCCUAAGUUUUCUCUGGCGUUUCUGGUUUUUGUGAUUUUUGAAUUUCGCUGCUUAAACGGAGACUCAUUUCAGCUUACAGGAUUUAAAGAUUGUCUUAUUCCAAUUCACGAAUAUCCUUGUCAUAUCCCGUCUCGGAAGAAGCUAUUCUGGGGAUAUCCCUUUCAUAUCCCAUCCCGAUUCAGGUUUUCCCCUGUCCGGUUCAGUUCUUUUAGUGUCCGGUUCAGAUUUUUUAUGCUGCAGGACCGGACUACCUGUCACACUUAUUCCACGUAGGGAUAUCCCAUUCCGCGUAUAUCCCGGUUGGGGAUAUCCUAAGAAGGGAUAUCCCGGCCGGGUAUAUCCCAUUCCAAGGAUAUCCCGGCGUUGGUUUAAGGUUUUUUUUGAAGGAAAAUACUGGGCUAUUAUUAAAAUUCAAAAACACGAACCGUCAGGACUAAAAGACCGACUCCAAAACGAAAUAGGCCCAAAGCAAAACAAAAGCUUGGAAAAACAGGCCUAAAUUUAUCUGGGUCUAAAUACUAUUUAAGAAAAUAUUGUAUCUUCAAUCCAUAAAGAUUGAAUAUAACUUUUCCAGAGUACGAUAUUUUUAAAAAAUGAAAUAAAAUUCAAACCAUUUUUAAAAUAAAUUAUAAAAACUCUUUCUUCCUUCAUCUCUCUCACGUUCGGUUCUCCCUUUCUUCUCUCCCCCUUUCCCCCUUUCUUCUACUAAUUUUCUUUUUCUCUCUUCGUCCUUUAUUGUCCUUUCUAACAAACCGCUGCCGCUGCUUCCACACACUUUCCAGCGUCUUACCUCCGAUCAGGCCAGCUUCCUUCCCAUCAUUCGAAACUUAAAUCCUCAAAUAUAUCUAUCCAAUCCAUUGUUUCUCAUUUCUUCGGCGAUUCUCUCUCACCCUAGGUCUCUUUUCAACGUUUUCCUGUCAUUCUAUUUUAGCCUUGGGUAUCCACAGGCCAAAAAAACACACGCUAUAGUAGGAAGAGAGUUUUCGUGAGAGAGAAACCCUAUGUUUUCUCUGGCGUUUCUGGUUUUUGUGAUUUUUGAAAUUCGCUGCUUAAACGGAGACUCAUUUCAGCCGAAAAUGAAGCCAAUCGAGUUGAAAACGUCGCUAGAGCAAACGCAGACCAUAAGCAGAGUCACCUUUGACAUUCUCAAGGAGCAUGGGCCCCUCACCGUCGGUGAUACUUGGGAACGAGUCAAGGUCAGUUGUUUAGUAGACUAUAAUCUGUAUUCAUUGUGUAUCUAUAUUUGUUGUUUCCACAUCUAAUUAAGCCAAGCCCAAGAGUGAAGGGCAGUGCAGUUUUAUCGUUGCAUAAUUUUAGGAUCUUGAAUUCCAUACGAUAUUGUUUUUUUCAUGCUUUACUUGCCUGUGCUCGACAUAUUGGAGUAGAAAUGUGUUUAUGAGUUCAGGAGGUUGGACUGAGAGGACUUACAAGCAAGAGGCACAUGAAGAUCGUGCUGAGAUGGAUGAGAGGGAGACAAAACAUUAGGCUAAUAUGCAACCAUGUGGGGCCUCACAAACAAUUUCUGUAAACAACUUGGUUCACUAAACCAAGCAUCAGCCACACAAGAGCUGUCCAUAAUUCCUCAACUUCUACAACUAGUUUUUCUGUCGAUACUUCUAGUCCAAAGUCGUCUUCAGGUUAGGUUGUAGCACGCUUGUGCUGGCUGUAAUACCAUCACAUGUACUGUUUUUUGCAAUAAUGUAAUACAAUUGUUCUGUUGUCAUGUUGUGGAAA